UUGAGCGUUUACGUAUUCGUUAAGCAGUAAUUAAUUGUAUUAUUAAUCAUUUAUUACACAUUUUUAAUUGAUGGAUCAGCGGUUGUAUAUGUUUUCGCGCUUUCUCCGGUCACGACUUGCGGCUAAGCAUAGUUUCGACGCUGCCGUCCAGUGAUGUGCUCAAGCUUAAUCAGGUGUACCGUAGAACGGACGACCGGGUGAGCUGGCAGGUGUUUGUGGCGAGGCAGGGUGUAUCGGCCACUUUAUCUUCCAUCCUAGAAGCGGAUCAUCUCCGGCAAGUUAUGCGUCCCGAACUGCCACUGCGCCGCCUGGUUCACCUCCAUGUAGCGGCCGCCCUGGCUGAAGUCCGCGCCCGCCAUCCGCCUGCAUCAUUACACAC